UCAGUGGGAACGGAGGUCUCUGUUAAGCUAACCCUAAUACACUGGCUUCAGGGCGAUGGCUCUUCGCGGAGGUGCCUGUUGUUUUAUUUGCUGAUUUUCAGCGGGCACGAAGAGCAAGAGUAGGCGCGGACUAAAAAACAUCAGCUGGGAGACUCCUCCGUUCGCACAGCCCUACCUGCCCCAUGUAUUGCCGGAGUGCCCCGGGCUUUCCCUGGGAGAUGCGCCUGGCGCUCCCCGGUCCGUCCGUAUGGGGCCGCGGUCAGCAUCAUCUGCUGUCGCGAAGAGUUCGUCUCUGUCAGCCCUUGGGAGCCCUGGUGUGGGGGGGGGGACAGUCCGGGUGUGGGGGGGUCGGGAGAAUAAAAGGAGGCGCGCUGGUGCGCAGGCGCAGCAUGCUUUCCCUGAGCUGUGGGAUGUGCGUGUCAGCGAGGCCCCCGACAUUC
rnacentral:telomerase_RNA from 1 species